CUGGGCGUAAAGGACGCGUAGGCGGAUUAUCAAGUCUUUUGUGAAAUCUAACAGCUUAACUGUUAAACUGCUUGAGAAACUGAUAAUCUAGAGUGAGGGAGAGGCAGAUGGAAUUGGUGGUGUAGGGGUAAAAUCCGUAGAGAUCACCAGGAAUACCCAUUGCGAAGGCGAUCUGCUGGAACUCAACUGACGCUAAUGCGUGAAAGCGUGGGGAGCAAACAGGAUUAGAUACCCUGGUAGUCCACGCCCUAAACGAUGUAUACUAGUUGUUGCUGUGCUAGUCACGGCAGUAAUGCACCUAACGGAUUAAGUAUACCGCCUGGGGAGUACGGUCGCAAGAUUAAAACUCAAAGGAAUAGACGGGGACCCGCACAAGCGGUGGAGCAUGUGGUUUAAUUCGAAGAUACGCGAAGAACCUUACCUGGGCUUGAUAUCCAACUAAUCUCUUAGAGAUAAGAGAGUGCUAGCUUGCUAGAAAGUUGAGACAGGUGCUGCACGGCUGUCGUCAGCUCGUGUCGUGAGAUGUUGGGUUAAGUCCCGCAACGAGCGCAACCCACGUAUUUAGUUGCUAACAGUUUGGCUGAGCACUCUAAAUAGACUGCCUUCGUAAGGAGGAGGAAGGUGUGGACGACGUCAAGUCAUCAUGGCCCUUAUGCCCAGGGCGACACACGUGCUACAAUGGCAUAUACAAUGAGAUGCAAUAUCGCGAGAUGGAGCAAAUCUAUAAAAUAUGUCUCAGUUCGGAUUGCUCUCUGCAACUCGAGAGCAUGAAGCCGGAAUCGCUAGUAAUCGUAGAUCAGCCAUGCUACGGUGAAUACGUUCCCGGGUCUUGUACUCACCGCCCGUCACACCAUGGGAGUUGAUUUCACUCGAAGUCGGAAUGCUAAAUUAGCUACCC
rnacentral:rRNA from 1 species